UGGGGAAUAUUGGACAAUGGAGGAAACUCUGAUCCAGCAAUUCUGUGUGUGUGAAGAAGGUUUUAGGACUGUAAAACACUUUUAGUAGGGAAGAAAAAAAUGACGGUACCUACAGAAGAAGCAACGGCUAAAUACGUGCCAGCAGCCGCGGUAAUACGUAUGUUGCGAGCGUUAUCCGGAAUUAUUGGGCUUAAAGGGCAUCUAGGCGGUAAGACAAGUUGAAGGUGAAAACCUGUGGCUCAACCAUAGGCUUGCCUACAAAACUGUUGAACUAGAGUACUGGAAAGGUGGGUGGAACUACACGAGUAGAGGUGAAAUUCGUAGGUAUGUGUAGGAAUGCCGAUGAUGAAGAUAACUCACUGGACAGAAACUGACGCUGAAGUGCGAAAGCUAGGGGAGCAAACAGG
rnacentral:rRNA from 1 species